UAGAUAAUAAAUGUCAAUCAUUAUCAGUUUGGCAAAAUGUUGCCAUUACGUUCAUCACUGUUCAUCACCGUUGAAAAUGAACCCACCAAUCACCACACUGUUCCACAUCCGUUCAUUGAUAAUUAAUGAACAACAAAGAAAGUGAAAAGAACUCAAAUCUCUGUAAAAAGGUGAAACUAUACCCUUCCAUUAUUGCAUAGAAAAUCAAGAAACCAAGUGCUUAACAGUACUCUCUAUAUAUACUCUCUAACAGUAAGGAUACUACCAUGACCCCAGUAAGAUAUUUGCCGGCCUUCAAAACCUGAGAUUAUACGUAUUUCCUACAACAUUAUUUCAAGAAACAAAGAAAAGCUCUAAUCUUGAUUUCUCUGACUGGGAGAACUCAGUGGAAAAAGAGUCAAGAGCUCCGGUGGCUCGCUUCCACUUGGUGUAGUCAGCGGUGAUGGAUGCAGAUAAAACCCUUUCUCUGCUAUCGCCUUCUCCUCCUCUGAAACUGUUGGAGACGACGAUGACUCAGUACCUGGGCUUCGGAAAAAGAGUGACUCUGAGGACAGUGGAGUCACCGGACUGGGUAUCAGUGAGUCGAGUCGGUGAUGAGUUUGGUGGGGGGAGAAGUGAGUUGGUGAGUUUCUGCGAGAGGUGAAGCCAAGUUUGAUUUCAAGCUUUCUCAUGGCGUGUCUGCGUUCUUGGAGCUUGAAAGGUGAGCAGCGAGGGCCCGUGGGAUCAACAGGAUGGGAAAGCUUUGAGGAGAGUCUAGCAGGGAGAGUAAAGGGGAGCUUUUCUGAAUCGCUGCUGGUUAAACCCGUGAGCUUCUGGACUAGGUCUCUGAAGGUGUUUGCGUCUGCUUGGACAAAGGUUGUGGGUGAAGUUGGAGAAGACGAUAUAGCGUUCAUGUGUCUUUCCAUUAAUUUCAGAGGAAAAUAGAGGGAAGAAUUUAGAAGAAAGAAAGAAAUAUUAAGGAAGUGCCUAAGAGAAAUAUGUAAUAGUUGGGUUUGUGAAGGUGUUGGAGUUGGUUUUCAUGGGGAGAGCUGAUGGAGUUGGAAAAAGUUUCAGACUUUAUAGGCAAUUUUGGAGAAGAAGGAAGGCAGAGGGUUGG
rnacentral:misc_RNA from 1 species